rnacentral:rRNA from 1 species
AUUGAACGCUGGCGGCAUGCCUUACACAUGCAAGUCGAACGGUAACAGGUUAAGCUGACGCGUGGCGAACGGGUGAGUAAUACAUCGGAACGUGCCCAGUAGUGUGGGAUAGCCCGGCGAAAGCCGGAUUAAUACCGCAUACGACCUAAGGGUGAAAGGGGGGGAUCGCAAGACCUCUCGCUAUUGGAGCGGCCGAUGUCAGAUUAGCUAGUUGGUGGGGUAAAAGCUCACCAAGGCGACGAUCUGUAGCUGGUCUGAGAGGACGACCAGCCACACUGGGACUGAGACACGGCCCAGACUCCUACGGGAGGCAGCAGUGGGGAAUUUUGGACAAUGGGCGCAAGCCUGAUCCGGCCAUGCCGCGUGCGGGAAGAAGGCCUUCGGGUUGUAAACCGCUUUUGUCAGGGAAGAAAUCCUUUGGGUUAAUACCUCGGGGGGAUGACGGUACCUGAAGAAUAAGCACCGGCUAACUACGUG